AGAGUUUGAUCAUGGCUCAGGACGAACGCUGGCGGCGUGCCUAAUACAUGCAAGUCGAACGCUUCUUUCCUCCCGAGUGCUUGCACUCAAUUGGAAAGAGGAGUGGCGGACGGGUGAGUAACACGUGGGUAACCUACCCAUCAGAGGGGGAUAACACUUGGAAACAGGUGCUAAUACCGCAUAACAGUUUAUGCCGCAUGGCAUAAGAGUGAAAGGCGCUUUCGGGUGUCGCUGAUGGAUGGACCCGCGGUGCAUUAGCUAGUUGGUGAGGUAACGGCUCACCAAGGCCACGAUGCAUAGCCGACCUGAGAGGGUGAUCGGCCACACUGGGACUGAGACACGGCCCAGACUCCUACGGGAGGCAGCAGUAGGGAAUCUUCGGCAAUGGACGAAAGUCUGACCGAGCAACGCCGCGUGAGUGAAGAAGGUUUUCGGAUCGUAAAACUCUGUUGUUAGAGAAGAACAAGGACGUUAGUAACUGAACGUCCCCUGACGGUAUCUAACCAGAAAGCCACGGCUAACUACGUGCCAGCAGCCGCGGUAAUACGUAGGUGGCAAGCGUUGUCCGGAUUUAUUGGGCGUAAAGCGAGCGCAGGCGGUUUCUUAAGUCUGAUGUGAAAGCCCCCGGCUCAACCGGGGAGGGUCAUUGGAAACUGGGAGACUUGAGUGCAGAAGAGGAGAGUGGAAUUCCAUGUGUAGCGGUGAAAUGCGUAGAUAUAUGGAGGAACACCAGUGGCGAAGGCGGCUCUCUGGUCUGUAACUGACGCUGAGGCUCGAAAGCGUGGGGAGCAAACAGGAUUAGAUACCCUGGUAGUCCACGCCGUAAACGAUGAGUGCUAAGUGUUGGAGGGUUUCCGCCCUUCAGUGCUGCAGCAAACGCAUUAAGCACUCCGCCUGGGGAGUACGACCGCAAGGUUGAAACUCAAAGGAAUUGACGGGGGCCCGCACAGGCGGUGGAGCAUGUGGUUUAAUUCGAAGCAACGCGAAGAACCUUACCAGGUCUUGACAUCCUUUGACCACUCUAGAGAUAGAGCUUUCCCUUCGGGGACAAAGUGACAGGUGGUGCAUGGUUGUCGUCAGCUCGUGUCGUGAGAUGUUGGGUUAAGUCCCGCAACGAGCGCAACCCUUAUUGUUAGUUGCCAUCAUUUAGUUGGGCACUCUAGCGAGACUGCCGGUGACAAACCGGAGGAAGGUGGGGAUGACGUCAAAUCAUCAUGCCCCUUAUGACCUGGGCUACACACGUGCUACAAUGGGAAGUACAACGAGUCGCUAGACCGCGAGGUCAUGCAAAUCUCUUAAAGCUUCUCUCAGUUCGGAUUGCAGGCUGCAACUCGCCUGCAUGAAGCCGGAAUCGCUAGUAAUCGCGGAUCAGCACGCCGCGGUGAAUACGUUCCCGGGCCUUGUAGA
rnacentral:rRNA from 1 species